rnacentral:lncRNA from 1 species
AGAAAAUGGGGAUGGAGGGGGGCGGGAGGAUGAAAAAGGCAUCGGCGUCACGCCGCCGACACUGUGAGAGUUUAAGGAGGGAAAUAGAAAAUAAUAAUAAUAGUAAAUAAAUAAAUGAAAAUGAAAAUGGAAGAAAGAAGUUGGGGGGAAGAAGAAAUGGGAGGAAAGAAUGAGCCGACGUGUGUUGUUGGGAAGGGGAAAAAAAAUAAAAAAAUGGAAGGGAGGAGCUGGGGAGAUGGUCGUCGGGUGUGUUCUGUUGGGGGAGAGAAAAAAAGAAAAAAAAACAUGGGGAGUAGAAAAAAAAUGGCGAGAGCCGUGUGGGUCUUUUUUGGGCAGAGAAAGGGCUGGAGAAAAAAUGGGUUGUAGAGUUGGGAACAUGAUAGAGAUGGAAAAAGGGGGAAGAGCAGAAGGAUGAGGGCCCUUAGCGUGUUGGAGUAAGGGAGUGAGAGGGAAAAAAUGGGGGGAAAAGGAAAAGAGAAUAAAAAAAAUAAAAAAUAAAAUAAAAAGGGAGAGAUUUUGGUGGUGGCCGGUGGUGAGGGGUAUGGGAGGAGAGAGAAGGAGUGGGUAGGUGAAGGUAGGUGGAGGAGAAAAAAGGAAGAGAGAGAAGAGAGAAAAAAAUAAAAUAAUAAAAUAGAAAAUUAAUAAAAUAAAAUAAAAAUAUAAAAAUAUAAUAUAAUAUCAUAAUAAUAAUAAAAUAAAAUGAAUAAAUAAAAAUAAAAUAAUAAUAAUAAUAAUAAUAAUAAAUAAAAAAUAAAACAAAAAAUAAAAAAUAAAAAAUAAUUUACAAAAUAAUAAAGACUAAAAAUUAAAGGGUGAAUGGGCUUAAAAUAACACAUGUAAUCAGGAUUUAAAAUUGGGCUCAAAAUUAAUGUAAAAAUAAAAUUGGGACAAAUUUUAGGGUCUACACCUAUCUUAUUCUAUCAUGUCAACUAAACGUAGGCUAUAUUUAUAUAAUAAUAAUAAUAAUAUAAAUAUCAAUACUAAUAAUUAAAUAAUAAUAAGACAAUCACCAUUUGUGCAUGCUACAAUAAUAUAUAUAAUAACAUGCUAUGCUUUGAGUCUUUUCCAUUAUAUGGUAUACAUCAAAACAUAAGACGAAUAGAUGAUGAUGGUCUUAUUAUUAUUUAAUCACAAUUAUUGAUAUGACUUAAAACGUAGGACGAACAUAUGACGGUGUUCUUGUUAUUAUUUAAUCACUAUUAUUGAUACUACUACUACUACAUUGUUAUUAUCAGUAUAUUAGGAAUGAUUACUAUAUUUAAAUUGUAUUCUUAGUAUAACAACUAAGUAGUGAUCUAAACAAUAUAAUUGGCGACUGACGGUUGAGUUUCCUCUAUUCUGGGGUACUACUGAAUUAUGUGGUUUUGUUGGCUGACAAGUGUCCCCACAUCAUCUUUAUAAUGUGUUCAUAUAUUAUUAAAUUACUUUUUACUUGGUAACAUUUUCGUUUUAACUUUUAAAGGCAUAUUUUAGAAUGGGAGAUUUAUCUAUAAGACUAUGUUUGCUUAUAAGAAAGUUUAUGAGAAAAUGCGAAGGAGAGAAAAUAAAAGGGAAGAAAAAUAAAAAAUAAAUUAUUUUUGGAUGUUAUUUCAAACUCAAUUUACUUAUUUUCUUUCUUUUAUAUAAAAAUUAAACAAUUUAAAAAUAUAUAAAUUUCUAACUAAUUUUAAUUAUAUUUCAAUUUUUUUUACAAUGAAAUCAAAUACGAGAAAAUCAUUUUCCUUAAAAAUAUAUAAAUUUCUAACUAAUUUUAAUUAUAUUUGAAUUUCUUUUGUAUUUUUUAUAAUGAAAUUAAAUAUGAAAAAAUAAUUUUCUUUAAUAUAUUUUUUCUUCUUAACAAUUUUUAGAACCAACAUAGCUUAAAAGUUUUAAAAGGAAUUGAAAAUAUAAUUUUUUUUUCUUUUUCACCUUUUGAAUUCAAGAAUUUUAGUCAAGAAAAAACAAAUUCAAUAAAAGCUAUCAAGGUUUAUCAUAGAUAAUCUUCGACUUUUUUUUAGCAAUAUAAUGAUUAAAAAUAAAAAUAAUUGAAGGGGUUGUUCUCAUUAUACAAUUAAUUCAAUUUAUAUUUUAAAAAAAAUUAUAUUUAAAGUAAUUUUAAGAAUUUUAUCCAAACACUCUUAAAAAUUGAUUUUUACCAUUUAAGGGUUUAAGAAGUUGGAAAUUCUCUCAAGCUUUAAAAUUGGUGUAAUGAGUAGAUUCAUAUUACUUAAGUUUAAAAAUUGUUUAAGACCUUUUGCUAAAAGUAUAUAUUUAAGUUUUUAUUUUUGGGUUCUUCCACAAUUGAUUAUCUAUACCAUUGGGCCUAUAUGUACUUUGACUAAAUAGGUAUUUUGAGUUUGAUACAAAUAUUUGAAAAACUUAGGGCUUGUUUGGUUGGUGUUUUUAAAAACUACUUUUUGUUUUUGAGAACAAAAAACACAGAAACCACGUUUGAUAGAAUAUUUUCUAUUCUCAAGUGUUCUCCGCGUUUUUUAAGGCCCAAUUUUAGAGAAAAAAAAUGGUGUUUUUCAUGUUUUUGCCAUUAUUCUAAAAAAAAUAAAAAUGAUGCUCUUCUUGUUUUCAAUCAGUGUUCUUGCGUGGUUUCGCCUCUUCUUUAUACUAUGAGGGAAAAUUUUUUGCAUUGUGAGGAAAAAUCAGAAAAUCGGUCUAACAAAAAUUCAACCCAAAAUUCAACAUUAUCUGAUUUUUUUCAUUUUUUUGGUCAUUCUAUUUCAAUAUUUUAGAAUUUUAUCCCCAUAUGAUUUUUUAGAUGCAUUUCAAAGCCAAAGCCUCCAUAAAUUCUAGGAUUUUUCUUAAACCAAACAAAACAUAAACAAUAACACAAAAGACCAAGAACGCAAAAAAAAAAAAAAAAAAAAAAAAAAAAAAAAAAAAAAAAAAAAAUUA